rnacentral:lncRNA from 1 species
UGAAGAAAUAACAGUACCACGUCUGCCAAAGAUGUUCUCCCUGCUUGAUGAGUAGCCUCUGAAAUGAUCAACAAAAUUAUUUCUUAUAUCCUUUCUUAACUUUUCUACCGUAGCAUAGUACAUUCUGGGGAUAUGAUCCACUAUAUCCCGAAAUUUAGGAAAAAAUCAAUAUUUGAUGAAUAACACAGUAAAUCCUUUUUAUUUUUCUCUCUCAAGUCCAUGAAUGUCCUGAUCUGUACGAUGAGGAAAUUGCUUAUUAAACUUUCCUUUUAUUCUAACAGCACCUGAAGAACAUUGCCCUCCAGGAGCCCUCUGUUGCAGUUGCACAAGCAAUGGUCUAAUUUCAGACAUGAGGGCUUAUGAACUGAAGGAAUAUUUUCCUUUUCCUUCUCCUUACAGUUUUGGAAAUCUUUUUCCCAAAAGAGCUAAUUUAUAGCAAACCACCCUCCUGUGCCCCAAUAAAAUUAUCUUCUUCCCAAAUCUUAACCUGCUACAUGUGAUUUCUAUCUUGCUGGCUGUCAGUUGAUUUUGAGGAGUGGCCAAAGAGGAGAGUGGAAGAAGGUCUCCUGACUGAGAGAAACGCUGGAUUUGGUCCUGCAGUUAAUCAGAAUCCUGCGAUGGAGGCUGAAUGUGAGAUCCAGUGGCAGAGUCUGAUAUGUACAGAGAAUGACAAAAUGGUUGAGUAAGUGCAGACAGUCUUUUAAAUACAGUGGAUAUCUUAGCAUGCACAUUUGUCACGCAGAACUUCUGCAUGAAUGAUGGAGCUGAUAGGGUUUCAAUCAAUGUUUGAAAGCAAUUACAUUUCUCUCUGCCUUAUUGCUUAUGACAGCGAGGGCUAAGAAGCCUCGUCUGUUUCCAUUCUGUCCCCGAGGCACAGAUCCCAGGGAGAAGCCAGACCGCAGUGCUUGCCUUGUGCAGGUUCCUGUAGCCUGGCUGUCUGCAGCUCUCGUCCUGCCACAUGAAUGGAAAUGGCUUGGAUGCAGUAAAUAGUCUGGUACACACUGGCAGCUGCGAGCAAUGAACUGACAAGUGAUUUAUUCAAAAGGAGACAUCCAACACUCCAAAGACGCUUGCUUCCCAGACACACUUGGACUGACACAGGGUAUGGCUCUGUAGCCCUUUGCUCGGAGUACCCAGGUGGAGUGGUCUGUGCUGGCUGCUGCUUGAGUGCAAAGAAACCUCUUACUUCCACUGGUCAUUACUAUGGACAAAUCAGUCUUCUGCACAUCAUUGUACUAGAGACUUCCAAACUACCCUGGACUCAGAGAAACUGUGCUAUCUCCAGCAGGCGUUCAGAGGAAAAGGCAGCCUUCCAGUCUUCAAGAACACAAGAUUUGCCUUCACUGAAUUUGAACUAAAAAGCAGAAUCUCUUUUGUGCCUCGUGGAGCUGCUUACUGAGCGGCAAAGUUAAUUAUUUAAGCCCCUGUUUGUUGAGACUUCUCUCUGUUCUACAUAAUAAAUGUCUUUUCUUCAUGACUAUGGCA